rnacentral:rRNA from 1 species
CGAAGGGGCGUAGCGUUGCUCGGAAUUACUGGGCGUAAAGGGAGCGUAGGCGGACAUUUAAGUCAGGGGUGAAAUCCCGGGGCUCAACCUCGGAAUUGCCUUUGAUACUGGGUGUCUUGAGUAUGAGAGAGGUGUGUGGAACUCCGAGUGUAGAGGUGAAAUUCGUAGAUAUUCGGAAGAACACCAGUGGCGAAGGCGACACACUGGCUCAUUACUGACGCUGAGGCUCGAAAGCGUGGGGAGCAAACAGGAUU